rnacentral:rRNA from 1 species
GAUGAACGCUGGCGGCGUGCCUAAUACAUGCAAGUCGAGCGAAUGGAUUAAGAGCUUGCUCUUAUGAAGUUAGCGGCGGACGGGUGAGUAACACGUGGGUAACCUGCCCAUAAGACUGGGAUAACUCCGGGAAACCGGGGCUAAUACCGGAUAACAUUUUGAACCGCAUGGUUCGAAAUUGAAAGGCGGCUUCGGCUGUCACUUAUGGAUGGACCCGCGUCGCAUUAGCUAGUUGGUGAGGUAACGGCUCACCAAGGCAACGAUGCAUAGCCGACCUGAGAGGGUGAUCGGCCACACUGGGACUGAGACACGGCCCAGACUCCUACGGGAGGCAGCAGUAGGGAAUCUUCCGCAAUGGACGAAAGUCUGACGGAGCAACGCCGCGUGAGUGAUGAAGGCUUUCGGGUCGUAAAACUCUGUUGUUAAGGAAGAACAAGUGCUAGUUGAAUAAGCUGGCACCUUGACGGUACCUAACCAGAAAGCCACGGCUAACUACGUGCCAGCAGCAGCCGCCG